rnacentral:rRNA from 1 species
GUGCCAGCGCGGUAAUACGUAGGGUGCAAGCGUUUAAUCGGAAUUACUGGGCGUAAAGCGUGCGCAGGCGGUUUUGUAAGUCUGAUGUGAAAUCCCCGGGCUCAACCUGGGAAUUGCAUUGGAGACUGCAAGGCUAGAAUCUGGCAGAGGGGGGUAGAAUUCCACGUGUAGCAGUGAAAUGCGUAGAGAUGUGGAGGAACACCGAUGGCGAAGGCAGCCCCCUGGGUCAAGAUUGACGCUCAUGCACGAAAGCGUGGGGAGCAAACAGG